CAGUCGCCGCGGUAAUACGUAGGGUGCAAGCGUUAAUCGGAAUUACUGGGCGUAAAGCGCACGCAGGCGGUUUGUUAAGUCAGAUGUGAAAUCUCCGAGCUUAACUUGGGAACUGCAUUUGAAACUGGCAAGCUAGAGUCUUGUAGAGGGGGGUAGAAUUCCAGGUGUAGCGGUGAAAUGCGUAGAGAUCUGGAGGAAUACCGGUGGCGAAGGCGGCCCCCUGGACAAAGACUGACGCUCAGGUGCGAAAGCGUGGGGAGCAAACAGGAUUAGAUACCCCGGUAGUCCCUGUCUCUUAUAC
rnacentral:rRNA from 1 species